GAGGAUCCGUACCGUGUAGUCUUCCACCCGGUGGUAGCUGACGCCAGGGUCCACUUCCCCCCUCACGUCAAACGCUUUGAGGUCUAUAUGUUUUCCUUCGUCGAGGAUGCGGUUGAGCCGAGUGGCCAGGUCUUUGUCCAUUGUGAUGUGGUCAUCUGUGACGCCAGUAGUCCCUCUGGCGGCCCCUGUAGUGGACAAUGUGUGAAUCGGGACAACCCGAAAAGAGGUCAACGACAUGUCAAAGACCUCUUUGAGGAG